rnacentral:tRNA from 1 species
ACCUUUCUGGUUCAGUUGGUGGAACGUGCGACUCUUGAUCUUGGCAUUGUGAGUUCAAGCCCCACGAUGGGUG